rnacentral:rRNA from 1 species
GUCCAGACUCCUACGGGAGGCAGCAGUGGGGAAUAUUGCACAAUGGGGGAAACCCUGAUGCAGCGACGCCGCGUGAAGGACGAAGUAUUUCGGUACGUAAACUUCUAUCAGCAGGGAAGAAAAUGACGGUACCUGACUAAGAAGCCCCGGCUAACUACGUGCCAGCAGCCGCGGUAAUACGUAGGGGGCAAGCGUUAUCCGGAUUUACUGGGUGUAAAGGGAGCGUAGACGGCAGCACAAGUCUGAAGUGAAAUGCCGGGGCUUAACCCCGGAACGGCUUUGGAAACGGUGCAGCUAGAGUGCAGGAGAGGUAAGUGGAAGUCCUAGUGUAGCGGUGAAAUGCGUAGAUAUUAGGAGGAACACUAGUGGCGAAGGCGGCUUACUGGACUGUAACUGACGUUGAGGCUCGAAAGCGUGGGGAGCAAACAGGAUUAGAGACCCUUGUA